AUACGGAGGGUCCAAGCGUUAUCCGGAAACAUUGGGUUUAAAGGGUCCGUAGGCGGGCAAUUAAGUCAGAGGUGAAAUCCCACGGCUCAACUGUGGAACUGCCUUUGAUACUGGUUGUCUUGAAUUAUAGUGAAGUAGAUAGAAUAUGAAGUGUAGCGGUGAAAUGCUUAGAUAUUACAUAGAAUACCGAUUGCGAAGGCAGUCUACUAACUGUAUAUUGACGCUGAUGGACGAAAGCGUGGGGAGCGAACAGGAUUAGAAACCCUAGUAGUCC
rnacentral:rRNA from 1 species